AGUCGCAGCCCUGCCGAAGCCCUGAGGCGUCGAGGCCGCCCGAGGGGAGCGCGCGUGCGCGCGCGGGGCUGACUGCGGGAGCCCUGGCUGGGAAGCGGCUAGGGCACCCGGGCAAGCAGCAGAACCCGCGGCCGGCUGAGUCCUCUCCAGCCGCGAGAGGCGGGCUCCAGCCGCGGCUCGCGCGCUCGCUCUGAGCCCCCGCGCCCAGGUGGGAUGGAAGAAGCCUGUCAGGUUGUCUGUGUUUUCCCCUGUGAAAGCAUUCAGGAUCUUAAUUUUAUGCUGUGGAUUCUGAACUUAAUAAUUUGGCCUGUGAGUCGAUCUUUUUAGAUGAAGUCUCUCUCUGUUGCCCAGGCUGGAGUGUAGUGGCAUGAUCUCGGCUCACUGCAACCUCCGCCUCCCAGGUUUAAGCGAUUCUUCUGCCUCAGCCUCCUGAGUAGCUGGGAUUACAGGCACGCGCCACCACGCCCAGCUAAUUUUCGUAUUUGUAGUAGAGACAUGGUUUCACCAUAUUGGACAGGCUGGUCUCGAACUCCUGACCUCGUGAUCCACCCAAAGUGCUGGGAUUACAGGCGUGAGCCACCUCGCCCGGCCUACACAAAUUUCUUUUUUUUUUGAGAUGGAGUCUCGCUCGGUCGCCCAGGCUGGAGUGCAGUGGCACCAUCUCAGCUCACUGCAACCUCCGCCUCCCCAGGUUCAAGCAAUUCUCCUGCCUCAGCCUACCGAGUAGCUGGGACUACAGGCGCAUGCCACCAUGACCAGCUUUUUUGUAUUUUUAGUAGAGGUGGGGUUUCACCAUGUUAGCCAGGAUGGUGUCAAUGUCCUGACCUCAUGAUCUGUCCGCCUCGGCCUCCCAAAGUGCUGGGAUUACAGGCGUGAGCCACCACUCCCAGCCCAUCUCACAUACUUUCAUAAUCCAAAUCCUACUCAUUCUUCAAGGUUUAUAUCAAAUGCCAUCCUUUCUAUGAAAUAACCACUGAUUUCCUUGCUUACAUAAAUGUAAUAAACUUUCUUCUCUGAACUUCCAUAUUUAUUUUUUCUGUACCUAUCUUAAGACAUUUACCACUUUAAAAUUUAAAUAAAUAUAUAAAAGUAUAUAAAAUGAAAUACGUGUUUUACUUCAACCAUUCUUCCCACCAAUAAUGUCUCCAGGGGUACAACUACUUUAAAGAGUAAAAAUAAGAUCCUAUUAUCCAUCUUUCCUCUGCUUGUUAUGCUUAAUAUAGCAAUAACACCUAUUAUCUUCCCAUUUUAUUAAUGAGGAAACUGAGGCACGAGGUAAAUUAAAUUGCCAUAAAUCACAGAGCAAGUGUUGGAGCUAGAUUUGAACUCAGGCAAUUUGGCUUCAAAGCUGUACUGUUAACCAUUGCUAGUUCCCACACAUGUAUUCUUAAUGUCUUUAUAAUAUUUUAGUUAAGGUAUACACUUCAAAAAUUUGUUUGUAAUUUAAAUCUGUUUUCCUCCUACAGAAUAAAAAUACCUUAUUU